rnacentral:tRNA from 1 species
GCCCGGAUGGUGAAACUGGUAGACACAAGGGACUUAAAAUCCCUCGCCGCAAGGUGUGCGGGUUCGAUCCCCGCUCCGGGCA